GAGGGUAAAGCUCAGUGGUAUAGAGUGCCUGCUUAGCAUGCAGGAGGUCCUGGGAUUGAUCCCCAGUAUCUCCA
rnacentral:tRNA from 1 species